rnacentral:tRNA from 1 species
AGCUUCGUAGCUAAGCGGAAUAGCGCCGGGCUCAUAACCCGGAGGUCGGUGGAUCGAAACCACUCGAAGCUA